UACGUAGGGAGCGAGCGUUGUCCGGAUUCAUUGGGCGUAAAGAGCUCGUAGGCGGUUUGUCGCGUCUGCUGUGAAAACCCGAGGCUCAACCUCGGGCCUGCAGUGGGUACGGGCAGACUAGAGUGCGGUAGGGGGAGAUUGGAAUUCCUGGUGUAGCGGUGGAAUGCGCAGAUAUCAGGAGGAACACCAAUGGCGAAGGCAGAUCUCUGGGCCGUAACUGACGCUGAGGAGCGAAAAGCAUGGGGAGCGAACAGG
rnacentral:rRNA from 1 species